CCCCCCCAAAAACUCAACUCUCUUUUCUUUCUUCCUUUGUACUUUUGACUAGUUUGUGUUUGUCGGACCAUGACCCAUGCCAUUUCACCUCAAAACCAAUUGGUGAUGAGAAAAACACAUUGAAAUCUUUUAUGGCAUUCGACAUUGCGCCCCAUGAGCCUACUUUUAAAGUGGUUGUAGUGAGUCAAAUUUUGAUCCCCCCAACAAUUUCUCCCUCACAGUGACACUCUCGCGACUAGAACCCAUGUCCUUGGCUCUAAUAUCAUUUGUCGGAUCGCGAGUUGUGCCAUUCAUCCUCAAAACCAAUUGGUGAUGAGAAAAGAGACUCUCAAAUCUUUUAUAGCAUUUGACAUCGCACUUCGUGAGUCUAUUUUUAGAGUGGUUGUAGGGAGUUAAAUUGUGGUCCUCCCAACAGUGCUCCUUUGCACAAAGUAGUUUUUUUUUUUUUAAUUUAUUUUUAUUUUUUAUAAUUUAUAUAGAUCCUUCUUAUUUAUCGAAGAAAAAAAAAAAGAAAAAAAAAAGAUAAUCGCUACAAAGAUGUAUAGAUCAAAAGCCUAUAUGUAAGAGACUCAAAAGAAGUUUAAUUUUGUAAUGGUGAAGCAACUUCCUUGAAAUGGACCAGCUGAUUUUAAAACACAGAGAGAGAUACAUAGGCGAGCAAAGAAAGACAAGGAAAAUGUUUCAAAAGCAAAUGAGGCAAUUACAAGAGAGAAAAGAACUAAUGAACAUAGAGAGAGAUUUACUAGAUGUGAAUCCCCAAGUGCAAGACCAGUCAAACAAAAAGCCACUAAAAGAAGCAAGCAACUGAUUAUCCGAACUAUCCACAUCCUCAAACGUCUGCCUAUUACUCUUCCCCUAAGUACAACACAUCAAACACAAUGGAACUAAAACCCAGAUGUCUGAAGAAUGCUUCCCCAACCAAUCCCACCAACCAAAAAUAAAAGAGCAGAGGCUGAAGCAGGGUGAGAUUGUGGCAUUGAUAAGUGAUGCGGGGACACUUUGCGUUAGUGAUCCUGGUAUGGAUUUGCAAUUGGAUUCCUAAACAUGCUAGAUCAAGAAGAGAGAGACUGAUGGUUUCUGCAAAUGAGUUGGUGACUCAAAUAUUCUAUGUUCCUCCACACAAGCUUCAUCAGUUUCUUAAAGAAACUUCUUUGCAUUUCAGUGACUCCAGGUAAAUUCCUUAUCCACCUAAAUGUACAUAUAUCCUAUUUGCUACUAUGGAAAUCUCUUUAUCUGUUAUAUAAUAGAUGCAGGAAAACAUAUCAACAGUUUACUGGGAAGUGACAAAAUUGUAAAAUUCUUGCUUUGUCUGUCUGAUUAGUAAACUUCUUCUUAACUUGCUUAUUGGCAAUAUGAGCUAUGUUCUUUCUUUUUCCUUUUAGUUUGCCCCUCCUUUUCUUGGAAAUGUCAUAUUUGUUUUAAGGGAGUGCUGGAAGUAUACACCCAAUGUCACUGGAUCAACAUCAGUAACCUUUUGUUCCUGGGUGAGGAUGGGUAACUUAUUGAUACUAUAGCCUCUUGCUUUUAAUUAAUUCCUAGGUUAUUAAUUAUUGUAUGCAGCCAAAUUUUGGUUUCUUGAUACAAUUAGGAGAUUAUCCUCAGGACUCCUGGUACAAUGAGCAGUUUUACAUCAAUUAGAGGGAGGCGAAAUUAUACGAGCUUUCACUCCUUUGAAGUUCUAAUUAUGGUUCAUUUCAUGUGACGAUGGAUUACAAAAUGAAAUUGUAUUAGUAAAUUCAUGUGUAAUAGCUGAUUUGCUGUGGAUAUUUACUCUUUUAUAAGUAGAUAUACAGUUCCUUAGAAUCAGCUUUGACAAUUCAUCAUAACAAUUGUAUUGCAGACGAUGUUUCAUAGCUCGAGAGAUGACAAUAUGCACGAAGAGAUACCUGGAUAAACUUUUCAAUCAGUAUGUCACAAUUGUUUGCUCCUUAACUUCCAUUCUGGCUUUGGGGGAGGUCAUUCUACAAGCAAUAUGCACAAGAUAUGGACUUACUAUCGGGGCCAAGUUCAUAUGGCUUGUGGGAGUUGUAAUGAUAAUUUUCUAUCCUAUAGCUUGGGAUUAAACAUCAGUCCAUGCUUUGUCUGCCAAAAGGUAGAGAAUCACAUUGUUGGAGCUCCAUGUGGUGUGAUGGAUCAGAACUUAAAGCAUGUGGUGAAGCCAACACACUUCUUGCAGUGAUGUUCCAGGCUUUCAAAGCACUUAUAACAUCGGCAACUUCAGAUGAGCAACAUAUGGGAUCUUGGAGAACUAUUGUAUGAGGUAGGCCUCAGACGGAAAUAAAGCAAUGGAGACUAGUGACAUCUGGAGUAUCAGCCCCUUGUAUUCCUUGCAUGGCUAGCAAUAAAAAAUUCUAAUGAUUUUUUUAUAUUCUAUAAUGCAUGAUUUUAAAUUCAUUCUAUGAACGUAUGUUGUCUUUUAGUAGGCUUGUAACAGGGACUGGAAAGUUAUUUCUAACACUAACGAUUUGUUCUAAGGCUUUGCAGAGCACCUAUUGAAUUUUUCUGAUUUUCUAAUUGUUUUUGUGAUUUAGGAUUUUUGAAAUGCAAUGGGGACAGAUUGAAGAUAGCUUUUGUUGAGGACAUUACACAUAUAGCAGGAUUCAGGCCAAAAAGAAAAGGAAAGACCAAUUAAUUUCACUAUCAAAAGUUUUUGCUUCCAUCAUGCAAAAUUUGUACUAAGCCCAUGGUUUUCAAACCACAUCAAUGUUUCUAAUUCAAUUAUCAUUAUGUUACUCUAUAACAGGAUAAUCAUCAUGAAUGAGGUUUGUAGCUUUUAUAUGUCCUAGUUAUGGGCAUGCA